CGUUAAAUUGACUUGAAAAUCAUUGAACCAAGGAUUACAUUGUAAGUAAAAGUGAAAUUACCAAAAUAAACAACCAAUGAACGAGGCAACAGAUACUUCAAGAACUGCGUCCAACUAAUGAUAAUAAUAGUUGUUUUGAAUGUGGUGCUCUCAAUCCACAAUGGGUCAGCGUCACAUAUGGAAUAUGGAUCUGUUUAGAUUGCUCAGGGAAACACCGGGGACUCGGAGUUCAUUUGAGUUUUGUUCGUUCAAUCACUAUGGACAAAUGGAAGGAUAUUGAAUUGGCUAAGAUGAAAGCUGGUGGUAA